UACGGAGGAUGCGAGCGUUAUCCGGAUUUAUUGGGUUUAAAGGGUGCGUAGGCGGACUGUCAAGUCAGCGGUAAAAUUGAGAGGCUCAACCUCUUCCCGCCGUUGAAACUGGUGGUCUUGAGUGGAUGAGAAGUACGCGGAAUGCGUGGUGUAGCGGUGAGAUGCAUAGAUAUCACGCAGAACUCCGAUUGCGAAGGCAGCGUACCGGCAUCCAACUGACGCUGAGGCACGAAAGCGUGGGGAUCAAACAGG
rnacentral:rRNA from 1 species